GCCUACGGGACGCAACAGUGAGGAAUAUUGGUCAAUGGGCGCGAGCCUGAACCAGCCAAGUCGCGUGAGGGAAGACGGUCCUAUGGAUUGUAAACCUCUUUUGUCGGGGAGCAAAAGACGCCACGCGUGGCGUUCCGAGAGUACCCGGAGAAAAAGCAUCGGCUAACUCCGUGCCAGCAGCCGCGGUAAUACGGAGGAUGCGAGCGUUAUCCGGAUUUAUUGGGUUUAAAGGGUGCGCAGGCGGAAGAUCAAGUCAGCGGUAAAAUUGAGAGGCUCAACCUCUUCGCGCCGUUGAAACUGGUUUU
rnacentral:rRNA from 1 species